rnacentral:rRNA from 1 species
GAUGAACGCUGGCGGCGUGCCUAAUACAUGCAAGUCGAGCGAACGGACGAGAAGCUUGCUUCUCUGAUGUUAUCCGCAGAGGGGUGAGUAACGCGGGGAUAACCCACCUAUAAGGCGGGGAUAACUUCGAGAAACCAGAUCUAAUACCGGAAGAGAAUAUGAAGCGCAUGGUUUAAAAGAAAAAUACAAUUUUGCUAUUACUUGUAGGUGGUGCCUCGCUUCAUUAGCUAGUUGGUAAGAUAACGUCUUACCAAGGCAACGAAGCAUAGCCGACUGGGGAGGGUGACCGCCACAACUGGAACUGAGACACGGUCAAGACUCCAACGGGAGGAAGAAGAAGGGAAUCUUCGCAAAUGAGCGAAGGCCUGACGGAGCAACGCGGCGUGGGUGAUGAAGGUCUUCGGAUCGUAAAACUCGGUUAAUAGGGAGGAACAUAUGUGUAAGUAAAUGUGCACAUCUUGACGGUACCUAAUCAGAAAGCCACGGCUAACUACGUG